rnacentral:snRNA from 1 species
GUCUGAGAGGGCCAUCUGGCCGCCAGGUCACCCUGUUGACCGCCAGGGUUGCGGCUGAUGGCUGGCUGGAGGCCGGGCGCCUUUCCUCCCUCACACUUCAGGCAGGUCAGGACGCUUGGUCCAAGAGGCCACACGCCCCUCAGAAGAGGCGGGCCUUCUCCUUGGUCAAAGGGUGUGCAAGCAGCUGCGCUUCCCUGCCAGAACCUUCCAACAAGUGCUCAAAAUAAAGAAUGAAAAGGGGUUGCCACUCAGUGGAACACCAGGACCACAGUAAGUAAACAAAAAUGU